GCGAGAAGUCCACUAAACCUUAUCAUUUAGAGGAAGGAAAGUCGUAACAAGGUUUCCGUAGGUGAACCUGCGGAAGGAUCAUUG
rnacentral:rRNA from 1 species